UACGUAGGGGGCUAGCGUUGUCCGGAAUCAUUGGGCGUAAAGCGCGUGUAGGCGGCUCGGUAAGUCCGCUCUGAAAGCCCGGGGCUCAACCCCGGGAGGCGGGUGGAUACUGCCGGGCUAGAGUCCGGAAGAGGCGAGUGGAAUUCCUGGUGUAGCGGUGGAAUGCGCAGAUAUCAGGAGGAACACCAAUGGCGAAGGCAGCUCGCUGGGACGGUACUGACGCUGAGGUGCGAAAGCGUGGGGAGCGAACAGG
rnacentral:rRNA from 1 species